rnacentral:lncRNA from 1 species
UGCUGCCCCCGCCGCGGGCAGUGCAGGGAGUGCUGUGGGCACCAGGAGCUGCCAGUUGUUCCCCCGCACUGCACGCACUAGACAUGCAUUGCACACAACACCCACACUGCACACCUUGCUCCCACACUGCACACAACACCCACACUGCACCCACACUGCACGCACUAGACAUGCAUUGCACACAACACCCACACUGCACCAGCACUGCACGCACUAGACACGCGUUGCACACAACACCCACCCUGCACACCUUGCUCGCACACUGCACACAUCACCCACACUGCACCAGCACUGCAUGCACUACACAUGCAUUGCACACAACACCCACACUGCACACCUCGCGCACACACUGCACUCACACAGCACACUCACUCUGCACACAACACCUGCACACAUGCAUUUGCUCACACCCUGCACACACCCUGCACACUCACACGGCACACAAUGCCCACACUGCACACAUUGUUUGCGCACUGUACACACACUGCACACAACACGUACACUGCUCACACUGCGCGCAUGCCUUGCACACACUGCUGGCACAUGCUGCACAACACACUGCACGUGCCCACAUGGUGUGCCCAGGGCCCACGCACACACUGCUCACAUGCUACACGGGCACACACUGCACAGACACACUGCGCACACAGCUGCGCAGAGAGUGCACAGCCACUGCACACAGCACACACUGCACACACACUGCAUGCAUUUACAGCGCACAGUGCAUGUGCGCGCUGCCCACACACCCCUACACGCUGCAUGCACGCUGCUUACACACGCACUGCACACACCCCGGUGCACUGUGCCACACAACACAAUACAAGCGCACACCAAAGCACUGCACAUACUGAACGCACGCGCCAGUGUGCUGCAUGCACUGCACACACAAAUCCCAGGCCCUGUGUGCAUGCACACACUGCCCAGAUACACCCCAGCACACACUGCACAGACCCACACCUGAAAGGUACACACACUGCACAGAGAUACACCCUGCACAGCCAUACCUGCACCAACACCUCGCUACACGACAAGGCAC